CCUACGGGUGGCUGCAGUGGGGAAUAUUGGACAAUGGGGGCAACCCUGAUCCAGCCAUGCCGCGUGUGUGAAGAAGGCCCUCGGGUUGUAAAGCACUUUCAGUGAGGAAGAACGCCUGGUGGUUAAUACCCAUCAGGAAAGACAUCACUCACAGAAGAAGCACCGGCUAACUCCGUGCCAGCAGCCACGGUAAUACGGAGGGUGCGAGCGUUAAUCGGAAUUACUGGGCGUAAAGCGCGCGUAGGUGGCUUGAUAAGCCGGUUGUGAAAGCCCCGGGCUCAACCUGGGAACGGCAUCCGGAACUGUCAAGCUAGAGUGCAGGAGAGGAAGGUAGAAUUCCCGGUGUAGCGGUGAAAUGCGUAGAGAUCGGGAGGAAUACCAGUGGCGAAGGCGGCCUUCUGGACUGACACUGACACUGAGGUGCGAAAGCGUGGGUAGCAAACAGGAUUAGAUACCCCUGUAGUC
rnacentral:rRNA from 1 species